rnacentral:siRNA from 1 species
AAGAGGUGUCGUCUAUCGUGGAUC